rnacentral:rRNA from 1 species
GACGAACGCUGGCGGCGUGCUUAACACAUGCAAGUCGAACGGAAAGGCCCUGCUUUUGUGGGGUGCUCGAGUGGCGAACGGGUGAGUAACACGUGAGUAACCUGCCCUUGACUUUGGGAUAACUUCAGGAAACUGGGGCUAAUACCGGAUAGGAGCUCCUGCUGCAUGUUGUGGGUUGGAAAGUUUCGGCGGUUGGGGAUGGACUCGCGGCUUAUCAGCUUGUUGGUGGGGUAGUGGCUUACCAAGGCUUUGACGGGUAGCCGGCCUGAGAGGGUGACCGGCCACAUUGGGACUGAGAUACGGCACAGACUCCUAAGGGAGGCAGAAGUGGGGAAUAUUGAACAAUGGGCGGAAGCCUGAUGCAGCAACGCCGCGUGCGGGAUGACGGCCUUAGGGUUGUAAACCGCUUUCGCCUGUGACGAAGCGUGAGUGACGGUAAUGGGUAAAGAAGCACCGGCUAACUACGUG